UCCUACGGGAGGCAGCAGUGGGGAAUUUUGGACAAUGGGCGAAAGCCUGAUCCAGCAAUGCCGCGUGUGUGAAGAAGGCCUUCGGGUUGUAAUGCACUUUUGUCCGGAAAGAAAUCCUUGGCUCUAAUACAGUCGGGGGAUGACGGUACCGGAAGAAUAAGCACCGGCUAACUACGUGCCAGCAGCCGCGGUAAUACGUAGGGUGCGAGCGUUAAUCGGAAUUACUGGGCGUAAAGCGUGCGCAGGCGGUUUGCUAAGACCGAUGUGAAAUCCCCGGGCUCAACCUGGGAACUGCAUUGGUGACUGGCAGGCUAGAGUAUGGCAGAGGGGGGUAGAAUUCCACGUGUAGCAGUGAAAUGCGUAGAGAUGUGGAGGAAUACCGAUGGCGAAGGCAGCCCCCUGGGCCAAUACUGACGCUCAUGCACGAAAGCGUGGGGAGCAAACAGGAUUAGAUACCCUGGUAGUCCACGCCCUAAACGAUGUCAACUAGUUGUUGGGGAUUCAUUUCCUUAGUAACGUAGCUAACGCGUGAAGUUGACCGCCUGGGGAGUACGGUCGCAAGAUUAAAACUCAAAGGAAUUGACGGGGACCCGCACAAGCGGUGGAUGAUGUGGAUUAAUUCGAUGCAACGCGAAAAACCUUACCUACCCUUGACAUGGUCGGAAUCCCGCUGAGAGGUGGGAGUGCUCGAAAGAGAACCGGCGCACAGGUGCUGCAUGGCUGUCGUCAGCUCGUGUCGUGAGAUGUUGGGUUAAGUCCCGCAACGAGCGCAACCCUUGUCCUUAGUUGCUACGCAAGAGCACUCUAAGGAGACUGCCGGUGACAAACCGGAGGAAGGUGGGGAUGACGUCAAGUCCUCAUGGCCCUUAUGGGUAGGGCUUCACACGUCAUACAAUGGUCGGAGCGGAGGGUUGCCAACCCGCGAGGGGGAGCUAAUCCCAGAAAACCGAUCGUAGUCCGGAUUGCACUCUGCAACUCGAGUGCAUGAAGCUGGAAUCGCUAGUAAUCGCGGAUCAGCAUGCCGC
rnacentral:rRNA from 1 species